rnacentral:lncRNA from 1 species
CGACGUAGGACCUACGUGGCCCCACGGGCAGUCUGUUGGCACUGGUGUGUGUUUACCUGAACCCUUCUGUCUCUGGACCUGGGACCGUUGUCUCCCCUCAGACUACCAUGUCCCCCUUUUCACUCACUGCUUUAGGUCACUACCAAUCUGCCCCCUACUUCUUUCUUCCUAACAGAACCCUGUUUGGUCCAGGUCUUCUUUUUGUCGUCCUUGGUGAGGUGCUUCAGGGGAGGCAACCUGUAUCUCCUUUCCCAGGGGUAGCUUCGGAUUGGCCUAGCCACCACUUCUUAAACUGGACCAUCAUUCAUUGUAAGAACUCUUACAUCACAGCUCAACACACAUGUAAGUAGAAAUGCAUAUGGAGAUAUUUAUAUCUACAUCUGAACUCAAAUUUCAUUAAAAAAGAUAAAGAGUUGGGACCUUCUCCAUUGAUUUUGUUACUUUCAGUUUUUGAUGCAAGGUCUAAGCCAGUCACGUUUGUUCCAUUCACCCCCCUAGUGAUUGUUUUAGGUGAAGACAUGUGAUAACAAUGCUGGUCAAUGAGAAGCUGGGGGCUCCCAUGAAAGAUUUCAACUAAUGACGAAGAGACUGUUCCUUCUGCCGGAUGUUGGGCUGCUCACGUGUGACCGUGAGGUGGAGACGGGCCAAGGAAGGAGCUAGAUCGAGGGGAAGAAGAAAGGCAGCCCAGACGGAUCCUCGACUGUGUUGCUGUAUCCAUCAGUGCCCUGCCAAGCAUUUUAGGAACUUGUGUCUUGAGAUAACCGCCCCCCCCCCACCCCGUUGUUUAAGCCAGUUCAACUGGAGUUUUCUGUUACCUGCAAUGAAGAGGUUCCUAACCAAUAUACUUCCUCACAGUGUCCAGGAAUCAACGAAUCUGAGCUGGACUCUGUGGUGUCCCAGGACCUGAAUACCCUGACUUCCAGCCUCGCUCAAAUUCCCGGCACUUCCAAAAGUGACAACAUUGUCAUUAGGAACUUGAGUUGAUUGCAGAUGACAACAAACUUAACAGGAUAAAAGUUUAAAACUUACAAUUGGCAAAACAAUUGCUAUUGACUGAAACGGAGACUGAGAUGGAAUUUGGAACUCAAUUAUCUAUAAACGUCGCUGCUGUGGUACCUGAACUAUGCAGAUGGUAAAAAUCUGUGUCUAAAAUGUCUUGCAAAACAUGGAGGUUUUCAGCAUCAUUUGGAAACACUCCAAGGGGGCUGACGAUGUGUCCGAAUGCUUGUACGCAGUCACCGUAUAGCUGAUGUGCAAAACAAGAAGGGAUGGGGCCCGAGGAAAAACAGGUGAGUGUGAUUCAGAACGAAAUCCAAACUGUGUGAACGCAACCCUUGGUAUAAGGAUUAUCAUUUUUCAUUCAAAAUUUCGGCAGACAGCGGGCAAAAUGUAAUCACUUUUCAGCAUUACCGUACUGCAUAAGCGUAUUAGAAAAGCUCUGUGAUGGUAAUCAUGUAGUGAACUUGAAACCACCCCUAAUUAAACUGUCUGCAUCCCCAAGCAUUUUCCUGUAAUGAUGUCAAACCGUGUAGCAAUUAGCUGUACCUCUAUGAAUGUAAACACUGUUUGUAAAUCA